rnacentral:rRNA from 1 species
UACGUAGGGACCAAGCGUUGUUCGGAUUUACUGGGCGUAAAGAGCGCGUAGGCGGCGUGGUAAGUCACUUGUGAAAUCUCUGAGCUUAACUCAGAACGGCCAAGUGAUACUGCUGUGCUAGAGUGCAGAAGGGGCAAUCGGAAUUCUUGGUGUAGCGGUGAAAUGCGUAGAUAUCAAGAGGAACACCUGAGGUGAAGACGGGUUGCUGGGCUGACACUGACGCUGAGGCGCGAAAGCCAGGGGAGCAAACGGG